CUGUGCUAAGGCCCCAGCCUGGGAUCUAUGCUUCUUCCCAGCUCCUGUGGUCCCAUGUCUACUUCUGUCCUUGUGCUGACUACACCCAGCUCUGACUGCCUGGGUAAUAUCACCAUAUAGUAAUGAACCAGGGAAAUAAAUUGGAAAAAGGGAAUAGAAAGAAAUGUCUCAAUGGGACUAAUUAUGGAAUAUAAAACACAAUGACUCCCUGUAUGCACUGGAAAAAGGCAGAGAGAAAAAGCUAACAAGACAGGCACCCCUAGUGAAGCAAAUUAGGUUCCUGAUUACACCGCUGUGGAGCUGAAAGAGAAAGUUCUCCAGGG
rnacentral:lncRNA from 1 species